UACGUAGGGGGCAAGCGUUGUCCGGAUUUAUUGGGCGUAAAGAGCGUGUAGGCGGCUAGGUAGGUCCGCUGUGAAAACUCGAGGCUCAACCUCGAGAGGUCGGUGGAAACCAUCUAGCUAGAGUCCGGAAGAGGAGAAUGGAAUUCCUGGUGUAGCGGUGAAAUGCGCAGAUAUCAGGAAGAACACCCGUGGCGAAGGCGGUUCUCUGGGACGGUACUGACGCUGAGACGCGAAAGCGUGGGGAGCAAACAGG
rnacentral:rRNA from 1 species